rnacentral:rRNA from 1 species
UACGUAGGUGGCAAGCGUUGUCCGGAUUUAUUGGGCGUAAAGCGCGCGCAGGCGGUCCUUUAAGUCUGAUGUGAAAUCUUGCGGCUUAACCGCAAGCGGUCAUUGGAAACUGGGGGACUUGAGUACAGAAGAGGAAAGUGGAAUUCCACGUGUAGCGGUGAAAUGCGUAGAGAUGUGGAGGAACACCAGUGGCGAAGGCGGCUCUCUGGGACGGUACUGACGCUGAGACGCGAAAGCGUGGGGAGCGAACAGG